AACGAACGCUGGCGGCAGGCUUAACACAUGCAAGUCGAACGCAUCCUUCGGGGUGAGUGGCAGACGGGUGAGUAACGCGUGGGAACGUGCCCUUCAGUUCGGGAUAACCCAGGGAAACUUGGGCUAAUACCGGAUACGUGCGAGAGCAGAAAGAUUUAUCGCUGAAGGAUCGGCCCGCGUCUGAUUAGCUAGUUGGUGGGGUAAUGGCCCACCAAGGCGACGAUCAGUAGCUGGUCUGGGAGGAGGAUCAGCCACAUUGGGACUGAGACACGGCCCAAACUCCUACGGGAGGCAGCAGUGGGGAAUAUUGGACAAUGGGCGCAAGCCUGAUCCAGCCAUGCCGCGUGAGUGAUGAAGGCCUUAGGGUUGUAAAGCUCUUUCGUCCGGGACGAUAAUGACGGUACCGGAAGAAGAAGCCCCGGCUAACUUCGUGCCAGCCGCCGCGGUAA
rnacentral:rRNA from 1 species